CAGAUGGUUACUGGAGUUGGAUCCUGAGACUUCUGUCUUUCAAGCUGGUCGUUCCUUCCACUGAUGAAGAUUGAUUUGAAUUCUUAUCCUGCCUACCAAGUUCUCGAUGGUCCAUGGUGAAACUGUAAAGCCUUUAAGCUUGAUGGACCAGUCUCCACAUUUUAAUUUACACCAUCGAUGAACAGAAUCUGAAUAGACCAGAACUGAGGAACUGCACUUACUACCUCUUGCCAAUUGCAGAACAAUCCAUUAAAAAGUCAUUUCUAGGUCACUGUGGCUGGAAGCAGCAGCUUUUGUGCGGCUGGCAGUGGGGAGAGUUUAAAAAGGCA